rnacentral:lncRNA from 10 species
CGAGUUAAUGGGUGCAGCACACCAGCAUGGCACAUGUAUACAUGUGUAACUAACCUGCACAUUGUGCACAAGUACCCUAAAACUUAAAGUAUAAUAAUAAUAAAAUAAAAUAAAAUAAAGAGAUUUACAUGCAAGAAAAGAAAAGCACGUAAAAAGGUGUGUUUUAAUGUCAUAGUGAGAGAUAUUAUAAUUUAUAUAGUUUAUAAAAUGUGGAGAUAACUAAUACAAUGUAAAGUGAUAAAUGAAACAUAGAUUAAAUUCACACAGUGCUAGGUUUUUGAAAACAUUUUAUUUUAACUCAACUUGUGUCUAAAGUAUAAUAUGGUUGCAUGAAAAAAGAAAUCUAAUGCAGGAAGCAUCUUGUCCCCUGAUAUUUUAGUAGUCACUUGCUGAAUUACAGUCUUGUUACUUUGGGAAACACUAAUAUAUAAAAUUAAAUUAUUAACCAACUAAAAUAUGAAUAAAUGAAGGAAAAUUGUAGAAAGCCAAAUGGAGAUUACCUAUAUGAUAAAACUUUAUUUAUUAUGUUUGAAAAAAGUAGAAAUAAGAAAUGCAUAGAUUUUAGACUUGGUGUAUAGAUCAGUAGCAUGAACUGUGAAGGAUGAGGGUCUCAAAUUCUGUUUUGACUCUCUUGGUGAGACUAGAUUCACAAUGUAAAAGGUAGAACAAAUGUUAGUGAGAGGAAACCUCAAGCAGAUGAAGGCAUUGUAAUGUGGUAUCCAGAUACUCCAAAUGAAUAUGUAUAUUUAUGAUCAAUUAGUUAAAAAUUAAAUCUCUGAAUUAUUUUUGUAAUCUUUGAGAAACUAUGGCUACUGGAGGAAGAAGAGGGAGAAGGUGAACUCCAUAAACUAUAAAUAGGCUUAGCGUGAAAGACUGCCACUGGCUAUCUUAGUCUUGUAUUUCCUUUACCAUCCAUGGUACCAGAGAAGGAAGAGUGUUUCUCUUUAUGGCCUCAGCAAAAAUUCUGUGGAAGGUGUUGAUUGACCCGAUUUGGGCCAUGUCCUACAAUCAUGGAGGCCAGAGCCAUUGGAUAUUUCAAUUGGCCGGGCUGAGAGCUACAGAACAUCCCUGUAGUGAACAAUGAAGAGAGUAAGAGAGAAAUCAGAUCCCAACUAAACUACAUGGCAUGUUUACACAUAAGAAAGGAGGGCUUGGUUGACAGGUGCAUGGAGGAGCACAAGUGAAAAGGCAGAUUGAAAACCAUAGAUGCCUCACUGUGCUUCACCGUCUACACUGUUAGUAAGGUUCAAUGUGAAGCCCUAUGCUAGGAUCCAAAAUUAAAGUUAAAAACAAGAAAAUGAAAGAAAUAUGCCUUUACAGUGAAACACAUACAAAAGAAGAAGAAAAGUUUAGCGGCUGUAAACUGGAUGCAUGAAGCCUGCAGUAUGUCGCAGCUAGGAAAAAACAAACAAGCAAACAGGAACAAUAGCAGGCAAUGCCUACAUUAAAGAGGAAAAUAUUUAGACACAGGACACCAUGGGGGAAGCACGAAACUCUUAUUUCUUCAGCUCACCACAAACAGUAGAUGUGGUGGCAGGAUCUCUAGGAAAGAGCUAAAAUUCAGACAGAACUUACUAUUCAAAGAGGAAUGGCCAAGAUGGCAAAAAGACUGGACACGAGGUCCUAAGAGUGAACAAUGGGUGGGUGGCUGAGUAGUCGAACUGGACAUGAGGUCCUAAGAGUGAACGAUGGGUGGGUGGGUGAGUAGUCGACUGACGCUGGAGACCAUGACUUUUGGGUGGUAUGAAGGAAGAAUCUGAUCCAAGGUUGGGAAUUUUCACCCCAAGUGCUGUUGGGGGACAAGCGGGCAAGAGAAUUGAGGGACUCACAGAAGAAUGCCAAGAGUGCUUCUCCUUGGGGUUCAUCUGUGGAGGAACUGAAGCUAGGAGGGGAGGACAGGGAAGAAAUGAGGCAAGGAAUUGCUGAAUGAAGUCCACAGUUCUGGAGUCCUGGGAGGAAGAGAGUGGGAGGUAGAGGAAAAGGCAGGGCAAGCCAGAGAUUUUUGGGUUUCAGCUGAAUAUUCCAAAUGUAUAAUAAUUUUAAGAGUGGUACCAAGGCCAAGAAUGCAGUCAUGGAAGUGGAUUUCUGAAACACAGUAAAGCGAAGACCAGUUCUGGAGGCCAGAAAUUUGAAAUGAGUCUUAUGGAGCUGAAAUCAAGCACAAACCAAAGCUGGGCUUCAUCUGGAUGCUCUAUGAAAGAUUCCUUUGCUCGCCUCUUCCAAUUCCUGGUGGUUGCUGGCAUUCCUUGCAUUGUAGACUCGUCAUCCCAACGUCUUCCUCCUUGGCCCCAUUGCCUUCUCCUCUCCUGUGUGGGCAUCAUCAACUCUCCCUUUCCCUCCCUCUUAAAAGGAUAUGAAUGUGACUGCUUUAGGACCUACCUGGAUAAUUCAGAAUAAUCUCCCCAUCUCAAGACCCUUAACAUAAUCACAUAUGCAAAGAACUUCUCUUUUCUUUAAUCAUAUGAGUUAACAUGUACAAAUUUCAGAGAUGAGAACAUGGAUAUCUUUAGGGUGCCAUUUUUUCAGUCCAUUGGAAAUGGUAGAUGUGGAAGAAGAGGAGCUAAAAUUCAAUCAGACUAGGGGUCUGCAAUCUGUAGCCUGCAAGUCAGUGCCUGUUUUUGUAAAUAAAGUUUUAUUGGAGCACAGCCAUGCCAGUUUUUUUGCAUGUUGUUUAUGGCUGCUUUCCUGCUACCUGGAAGAGUUGAGUGGUUGUAACAGUAACCAUAUGGUCCUCAAAGCUGAAAAUGUUUACUGUCUGGCCCUUUACAGAAAAAGCUUGCCAGUCCCUGGGUUAGAUCAAGAAUGUGGCAAAUCAUACUGGGGAGAUUAUAAGGUUUUAAUUUAAAGUUCAGCAGCAGACAAGUGAGGGUAAGAACUUCAGUGGAUGAAAAACCUACAAAAUACCAGUAGAUUUUACAGUUAGACUUUGGUAGUUUUGGGUAGACAUAUUUCAUUGAAAUGGUGAAAGUGGA